rnacentral:rRNA from 1 species
UCCGGUGGCUAUAGCGAAGGGGUCACACCCGAUUUCCAUCUCGAACUCGGUAGUUAAGCCCUCCAGCGCCGAUGGUACUGCACGGGCGACUGUGUGGGAGAGUAGGUCGCUGCCGGAG